rnacentral:rRNA from 1 species
GAGGAUGCGAGCGUUAUCCGGAUUUAUUGGGUUUAAAGGGUGCGUAGGUGGUCUUUUAAGUCAGCGGUGAAAGUUUGUGGCUUAACCAGAAAAUUGCCAUUGAUACUGGGAGACUUGAGUGUGUUUGAGGUAGGCGGAAUGCGUAGUGUAGCGGUGAAAUGCAUAGAUAUUACGCAGAACUCCGAUUGCGAAGGCAGCUUACUAAACCAUAACUGACACUGAAGCACGAAAGCGUGGGUAUCGAA